rnacentral:rRNA from 1 species
AUUGAACGCUGGCGGCAGGCCUAACACAUGCAAGUCGAGCGGGGUUUUCGGACCUAGCGGCGGACGGGUGAGUAAUGCGUAGGAAGCUGCCCGAUAGAGGGGGAUACCAGUUGGAAACGACUGUUAAUACCGCAUAAUGUCUACGGACCAAAGUGUGGGACCUUCGGGCCACAUGCUAUCGGAUGCGCCUACGUGGGAUUAGCUAGUUGGUGAGGUAAUGGCUCACCAAGGCGACGAUCUCUAGCUGGUUUGAGAGGAUGAUCAGCCACACUGGAACUGAGACACGGUCCAGACUCCUACGGGAGGCAGCAGUGGGGAAUAUUGGACAAUGGGCGCAAGCCUGAUCCAGCCAUGCCGCGUGUGUGAAGAAGGCCUUCGGGUUGUAAAGCACUUUCAGCGAGGAGGAAGGGUGGUGUGUUAAUAGCACAUCAUUUUGACGUUACUCGCAGAAGAAGCCCCGGCUAACUCCGUGCCAGCCGCCGCGGAAAAAC